CGUUACAUCGUUAUCCUUUUUCUCUUCGCCUCUUGAUUUUAGCUUCCGCAAGCAAACCCUAACCCUAAACUUUCUUUUCUUCAUCUUUUUUUUCCUCUCAAUCGCGAUAAUGUCUCACUUCGGAAGGUCAGGCCCGCCCGACAUCACCGACACCUACUCCCUUCUCGUCCUCAACAUUACCUUCCGCACGACUGCUGAUGAUUUGUUUCCGCUCUUCGACAAGUACGGGAAGGUCGUCGACAUCUUCAUUCCCAAAGAUCGAAGGACUGGUGAUUCUCGAGGCUUUGCAUUUGUGCGCUACAAGUAUGCCGAUGAGGCUCAGAAAGCUGUAGAUAGGCUCGAUGGGAGAGUUGUUGAUGGUCGGGAGAUAACUGUUCAGUUUGCAAAAUAUGGGCCUAAUGCAGAGAGAAUUCAGAAAGGAAGGAUUAUUGAAUCAUUUCCAAAGUCAAGAAGCCGCAGUCCUCGCAGAAGGCACCGGGAUGACCAUUAUAAAGAUAAGGAUUAUAGAAGAAGAAGUCGAAGUAGAAGUUAUGACAGAUAUGAACGUGAUCGAUAUCGUGGGAAAGACAGAGAUUCUCGGCGUCGAAGCAGGAGCCGUAGUGCUAGUCCUGUCCAUUCUAAAGGCCGAGGAAGAGGUCGUUACGAUGAUGAUAGGCGAAGUAGAAGUCGAUCAAUGAGUGCUUCUCCUGCUCGGCGUAGCCCUAGUCCUCAGAAGAGUCCUUCCCCACGUAAGACAUCUCCCCCUAGGGGUGAAAGUCCUAGUAGACGGAGCCGUGAUGGACGGUCUCCAAGUCCUCGGAGUGUUUCACCGCAAGGCCGCCCUGCUGAUUCACGGAGCCCAUCUUCUUGAAACUCAUAGAUCAAUGAAUGAUCUUGCUGAUGGCAUUGGAAUUCCUGGAGACUUGGCUUAGCAUGACUCCUGUCGCUAUUUUGUUAAUGUUGAGGACAUUCAAAUAUCAUUUGUUUUCUAGUGUUGCAAUGUUCGGGGAAAGAGUGAGUUGGGCAAAUGGACAUGAUGUUGAUGUUGCUGUUCGUGCUGUUUUUAUCUAUAGAUGAAUGGUCGUGAUUGUGAUGCUGGGUUAUUGCAGUAUGCUGAUUGCAGGGACUGUUUGUUAACUAUUUUUAACUGAAAGAUAUGGUGAUUGGUAAGAGCUAUAGUCAUGUCUUGGUUUCCAGAAAGCUUUGGCCCUCUCUGGUUCCUGAUUUUUGCAUCUGAUUAUCCUUGGGUCUUCUGAUUUCUAAAUAUUGGCUCUGAGGUUUAGUUGCUGUGAUGAUAUUAAAGGACCCAAGAUGAUUUUUUGACCUGUGGAAUGCUGUGUUUGAUGAGCUCUCUGGCAUUAGACCUGAUGUGGUUGCUAAAAAUAAAAAUGUAAUGUCUGGUCUAAACCUUGUAGUUGCAUUAAUUGAACAAAAUAACUUGUUCUUAUUUAAUUGUUUGAUUGUUGUAUUCCAUUAAUCAUGUUAACCGCUCCCUCUUCCUUAAUGUUUUGAGUUGUAGCAACUUUGACCGUGAUUGUAGCUGGGAAGUGGUUGCUGUGCCAAUUCUGUUGUAUGAUACAUAUGGCUUGUGGAUAACCACUGAGUACAAAUUAAUAACCUGUACCAGACUGUUGCUGCCUUGUUGGAUCAUGUUGAAAAUGGUUUUAGCAGUUGCCUAGCUUUCUACCUUGUUUGCUUGUGGCUGGCUGUUGCUGCAAUUCCUGCAGGAUCGUGUCAGUUUUAAUACCUCGGUGUUGAAAUGGAUAUGAUAUGCUGCCCCCUUAUCACAUGUUUGGUCAAGUUUUAUUAUCUUUCCCUGUUUGAAGUUCCUUUGCUAUUAUAGUGAUUUCCUUAUUCUAAUUUUACUCAUAGGACUACAAGCUCGCCCUUGUGCUCUGAGUUUGCUUUAGAUGCUUAAAGAAUGAAAGAACUGAAAAUUUUAGGCAUGCAUACCUUGGUGGCUAAGCAUGUUGAAAGAUGAAUAGACUGGAUGCCAUUGCAGUUUUGUGCUGAUACAUCACGCUAUGUUAUUUCCUUUGAUCACUGCUGGUAUCUGUUGCAUGUAUCAUCUACUUAUAUUCCAAUGAAAAUUUUGAUUGCUCUGA